rfam:Capsicum annuum cultivar Zunla-1 chromosome 8, whole genome shotgun sequence
CAUUAAUGGUUCUGGCAUUGCAUGGGAUUCUCAUUGAAACUUUGCCACACCUCAUGUAAGGGCUCACCACUAAGUUGACAAAAAUUUAUGAUCUCAUCCCUUAGUUA